rnacentral:rRNA from 1 species
GACGAACGCUGGCGGUGUGCUUAACACAUGCAAGUCGAACGGAAAGGCCCUGCUUUUGUGGGGUGCUCGAGUGGCGAACGGGUGAGUAACACGUGAGUAACCUGCCCUUGACUUUGGGAUAACUUCAGGAAACUGGGGCUAAUACCGGAUAGGAGCUCCUGCUGCAUGGUGGGGGUUGGAAAGUUUCGGCGGUUGGGGAUGGACUCGCGGCUUAUCAGCUUGUUGGUGGGGUAGUGGCUUACCAAGGCUUUGACGGGUAGCCGGCCUGAGAGGGUGACCGGCCACCUUGGGACUGAGAUACGGCCCAGACUCCUACGGGAGGCAGCAGUGGGGAAUAUUGCACAAUGGGCGGAAGCCUGAUGCAGCAACGCCGCGUGCGGGAUGACGGCCUUCGGGUUGUAAACCGCUUUCGCCUGUGACGAAGCGUGAGUGACGGUAAUGGGUAAAGAAGCACCGGCUAACUACGUG